UACGUAGGGUGCAAGCGUUGUCCGGAUUUAUUGGGCGUAAAGAGCUCGUAGGCGGCUUGUCACGUCGGAUGUGAAAGCCCGGGGCUUAACUCCGGUCUGCAUUCGAUACGGGCUGGCUAGAGUGUGGUAGGGGAGAUCGGAAUUCCUGGUGUAGCGGUGAAAUGCGCAGAUAUCAGGAGGAACACCGGUGGCGAAGGCGGAUCUCUGGGCCAUUACUGACGCUGAGGAGCGAAAGCGUGGGGAGCGAACAGG
rnacentral:rRNA from 1 species